GCUGGGCACGGUGGCGCGUGCCUGUAAUCCCAGCUACUCAGGAGGCUGAGGCAGGAGAAUUGCCUGAACCCAGGAGGUGGAGGUUGCGGUGAGCCGAGAUCGUGCCAUUGCACUCCAGCCUGGGUAACAAGAGCAAAACUCUGUCUCAC
rnacentral:SRP_RNA from 1 species